rnacentral:rRNA from 1 species
UUUGAAAUCUGGCCCCCCGCGGGGCCCGAGUUGUAAUUUGCAGAGGAUGCUUCUGGCGCGGCGCCGUCCGAGUUCCCUGGAACGGGACGCCACAGAGGGUGAGAGCCCCGUCCGGUCGGACGCCAGGCCUGUGUGAAGCUCCUUCGACGAGUCGAGUAGUUUGGGAAUGCUGCUCAAAACGGGAGGUAUAUGUCUUCUAAAGCUAAAUACCGGCCAGAGACCGAUAGCGCACAAGUAGAGUGAUCGAAAGAUGAAAAGCACUUUGGAAAGAGGGUUAAACAGUACGUGAAAUUGUUGAAAGGGAAGCGCCCGUGACCAGACUCGGGCCCGGCGGAUCACCCGGCGUUCUCGCCGGGGCACUCCGCCGGGCGCGGGCCAGCAUCGGCUCGGCGCGGGGGACAAAGGCCCUGGGAACGUGGCUCCCUCGGGAGUGUUAUAGCCCCAGGGGCGCAACGCCCCCGCGCGGGGGCCCAAGGUACGCGCCCCGCAAGGGAUGCUGGCGUAAUGGGUCACCGGGCAACCCGUUCUUGAAACACGGACCCAAGGAGUCCUCCUUCCUAUGCGAGUGUUCGGGUGUCAAACCCCUACGCGGAAUGAAAGUGAACGCAGGUGAGAGCUCCGGCGCAUCACCGACCGAUCCUGAUGUCCUCGGAUGGAUUUGAGUAGGAGCAUACGGGGCCGGACCCGAAAGAAGGUGAACUAUGCCUGUGUAGGGUGAAGCCAGAGGAAACUCUGGUGGAGGCUCGCAGCGGUUCUGACGUGCGAAUCGAUCGUCAAACAUGGGCAUGGGGGCGAAAGACUAAUCGAACCUUCUAGUAGCUGGUUUC